rnacentral:rRNA from 1 species
AUUGAACGCUGGCGGCAGGCUUAACACGUGCAAGUCGAGCGGGGUGAUGGUGCUUGCACUAUCACUUAGCGGCGGACGGGUGAGUAAUGCUUAGGAAUCUGCCUAUUAGUGGGGGACAACAUCUCGAAAGGGAUGCUAAUACCGCAUACGUCCUACGGGAGAAAGCAGGGGAUCACUUGUGACCUUGCGCUAAUAGAUGAGCCUAAGUCGGAUUAGCUAGUUGGUGGGGUAAAGGCCUACCAAGGCGACGAUCUGUAGCGGGUCUGAGAGGAUGAUCCGCCACACUGGGACUGAGAAACGGCCCAGACUCCUAAGGGGGGCAGCAGUGGGGAAUAUUGGACAAUGGGGGGAACCCUGAUCCAGCCAUGCCGCGUGUGUGAAGAAGGCCUUCGGGUUGUAAAGCACUUUCAGUCAGGAGGAAGGUGAUAAGGCUAAUAUCCUUAUCAAUUGACGUUACUGACAGAAGAAGCACCGGCUAACUCCGUGCCAGCCGCCGCAGUAA